rnacentral:lncRNA from 1 species
GGGGCGCAGCUUUGCGGACCCAGGAGUUCAGGAUGCAGGCGGGGCUUGUGCUCCGCGCGGGGCAGGGCGUAUGGUGGGCCUCCUCCCGCCCCUACUCGCGCGUUUUGCUCCUCAGUCUCCUUCUCUUGCUGCUUUCAUGGCUUUCAUUGGAGCUUUCUGGACCUUGUGCUUGACGGUGCUGCAGGUGCCGUGGGGACACACAAGCUAGUCUGAUAAGCACCCUCCCCCAGGAUCAUGCGGUGCUGUAAGGACUAGCGAAGAUGAAGAUAGAAUGCAAGGUAGAAAGUGCUGGAUGCCUUUAGAAAGCUGCAGGACUGGUGCGAUGGGAGUUGAGUCGUAAGAACCUGUCUGUCCGUAGGACUCAGGAUGCUGCUGAGGCCCUGGGCUUCCAUGGUAGAUUUGAAAACUCACCCUUGUAGAGUCAUGGUGUCCAGCCUUUGAGAGGACUCCCUUUUAAGUCUGCAGGCGCUGAGCCCCCGGAGGAGGAGGGGCGGGGCCAAGGCCUCCUCCCAGCCCGGCUUUGCGGAGCAGAGAUCUGAUGUCUGGAGUCUACAGAAGCACUUGCAGAACUGAUCAGAAGCCACCCCGCUUAUCGGCAGAUCUUAGGAGAGUGUUCGGUGGAGGCCCUGCAGGUCUGCGCAGCUCACCUCCCUGGGAACUGCUCGCCUGAGCGUCGGAGCCGGCGCUGGCACCCUGCAGUCAGAAAGUUGCAGCCGCGGGAGCCCCGGAUGCCUAGGACGCAAGGCUCUUGCUCUUGCAGAAUCCACAGGUCUUUCUUGAAGAAAUCUGUAGUCAGAACUUUGUGCUGCAUUUUUAUCUAGGGAAGGAACAGGACAAGAGUGUGGUCUCCUAGAAAUCUAGCACUGGAGAUUUGUCUUUUUUUGGUCUUGUUUUGUUUUUUUGCUGUCAUUGUAAUAUUUUUAUGCAUUGGACUAUUAUAUGUUAUACUGUUACACUAUGUUGGCUAGACUGGUCUCGAACUCCUGACCUCGUGAUCACCCGCCUCAGGCUCUCAAAGUGCUAGGAUUACAGACAUGAGCCACCAUGCCCAGCCUUGCCUCUUGGCUGUUACCAAAGGAUGUUUGCUUCCAAAGAAGCUGGAAGCUGCAGCCCCAGUGAGCCUUUGCAGGGGAGCAAGAGAGCCACAGACCUCCUAGGGGAAUGUAGAGGGGUUGCUGCUCUGCAAGAUGGCAAGAAGGAUGGAGAACACAGUCAACCAGGAGCCCAAGUCCUCAGUGGAUGAGGAGGUGCAAGCGGAAGACCAGCAGACAGCAGUCACCGAGAGGGACAGCAAGUGACUCCGCUGCCUUUGAAAGAGAAAGGUCUUGGACACGACCACAGGAAGCAUGGAGGAUAUAGACUCUACCUUAGAUUCUACGGAGGAAAAUUCUUCCAAGGAUGGUCUCCCACUCAGAGCUGAGGAAGCUUUUCUACUCAGCAGAUGCAGCGUGUUUUGAUGUUGACAGCACGGUCAUCAGAGAAGAAGGAAUCAGUGAGCUAGCCAAAAUCUGUGGCGUUGAGGACAUGGUGUCAGAAAUGUAGGGAUAGCAUUUAUCCACUUUAUGAAAUGAUAAAGAAUUUCUGAAGAGUGACUGUUUUGGAUGAAGUGCUAGACCCUGGCUAUGGAACAUGAGCACUAGGCUUUUUCUUUCAUUCCUUAGAGCUGAAUUUGAUAUAUUCAUUCAUUUAUAUAAAUAUUUAUGGCAAA